GAUAAACAGAAAAUAUGGCUGCCCGAGGCAAAGUGCUGACUGAGGAGGAACUUGUGGAGACGAUGAACAAAUCUGGUUUCCUCUCAGUAAAUGAUAGCUCAGAUAUUACCUGUGGCAGUAGUGGGCUGCAACUGACUGAGGCGAGGGGCCAACUACCUAGUAACUAGUGUACCAAAGGAGAAGUCACCAGCUGCAGUACUUUUUUUUUGGAAAUUUUUUUCUAAACACUUUUUCAAAUUUAGUCAAAUUUAGGUUAUUCCUUAUUAAGGUCAAUAUCAAUAUUAAAAUAAAGUACAAUUUAAGUUUAUAAGUUUAUAAUCUAUAGUUUAAGAGUUCCUUUUUCACUGUAAAACUUGUAAUAAACCUUAAUUGAAAACUAC